UAGUAUAAGGGAACUCAAGGGAAAAACAAAACAAAACAAAAACUAUUUUAAGACUUUUGAACUUUGACCAGAUAUUGACACUUAAUACGAAAUUCCAGACAGCUGUGAUUAUUUUUUACUUUUUGUCAUUUUUCAUCAACAACAGAGGACCAACGAAACAAGAACACAAAUGUGAAAUCAUGGGCUCACUGAAAUGAAUAUGUCCAUGUACAGAUCCUCUGGAAAAAAAAAAAAAAAAAAAAAAAAAAAAAAGACUCCAAGAGUUAUAACUACUGUAGUAUAAACAUAGGAACUAAGUUAACUUGUACAUUUCUGUUGAUCACUCCGUUACGUUGCCUCAAAUAGUUUUAGAAGAAAAAAAAAUCCUUGUUUUCCACACUAUGUGUGUUGUUCCCAAAAGAAUGACUGUUUUGGUUCAGCAGUGAAGUCACUAUCCAUGAAAGACCUGUUUUGGCCAGUGAGAAAAGAACUACCCUGGAGAUGAAGACAAAAAGUCUUGCUGGGUCUCUCAUCACUCGGAAGACUGUUCCAAGAAGGCCUUGCCAUUCCCUCGUUUUGUUCCUUCAUAAAAUGUGUCCUUUAGUUUCAAACAGAUCUUUAUAGUUUGUGCUUCAUUAAGUCUCUCCCCAUUCCUCCCCAGUCUUUUUUUUUUUUUUUUUUUUUUUGGACUCUUCUUCAAAGAGCUUGCAGGUGAAGAUUUAAAAGACAGAACUGAACAGACAGAGCAGGAGCUUCUUCCAGUAGUUCUGAGCCUUGGCUUUGGACAAAACAUAACUAAAAGUUGGGCAGCUUUCCUCAAUGAAAGAAGUUACUAACGGUCUUUGCACCAAACCUAGAACUUUAUCAUGAACUCAAAGCUUGGGAAAAAAAAGCAAGAGAAUACUGUAACAAACUUCGUACAGAGUUCGGUCUAUUAAUUGUUUCAUGUUAGAUAUUCUAUGUGUUUACCUCAAUUGAAAAAAAAAAAAAAGAAUGUUUUUGCUAGUAUCAGAUCUGCUGUGGAAUUGGUAUUGUAUGUCCAUGAAUUCUUCCUUUCUCAGCACGUGUUCCUCACUAGAAGAAAAUGCUGUUACCUUUAAGCUUUGUCAAAAUUUACAUUAAAAUACUUGUAUGAGGACUGUGACGUUAUGUUUUAAAAAAAAAAAAAAAAAAAAAAAAAAAAAGGUGUUAAGUCACAAAAUGCGGUAAUAAAUAUUUCAUUUUUGAUUUUUUGUUAGGCUUUUGUGUUUUUAAUCAUGCUUAGUCGAGACUGAAGUUAUUGGGAGAGUUGUCUCAAAUAUAUUUCUUCAUGAACAUUGAAAAGAAAGGUUGGAAAAAUCAGAAACAAGCCUGUCAUCAGCAUUAAUAGAAUAAUUGGGUGAAAGAACAUCUGAGAUGAUAUAUUUCUGCUGAUUAUCGAUAUUAUUUUCAUACCAGACUAAACAAAACUCAAACUGUUCUCUCAUCAGCUUGUAUUUCAGAGAGCUGUGUCUAAUAUCUGUACUAUCUGCUAAUAACAUAGAAGCUCUGUGUGAGUUGUGAAGGCCCAUGUACGAGACCAGUAAGCCAUGUGUGUUAAGUGUACGUCGUGUACGUGUCUUUGUAUGUGUAUGUGCAUGUGCAUGCACAGCCACUGCCAUCCUUAACUCCAGCUGCUUAGCUCGGCACUGAAGAAUGGCUGUUAGCCCAGCAUAGGUUCAGAAGUUUCGGGAAGAGAAAAGCAGCUUUGACUUUAACGAGAGUUUUACCUGCGUGAGGAUUGCACAAUGUAGCUUUUGAGAUGGUUUUAUUGCUUUUCUUUUCUUCAUUUGUUUUCAGAAAAAAAAGAAAAAAAAAGAAAAAAAAAAGAAAAAAAAAAAAGAGAGAGAGAGAGACCCUCAGCUAAUGAGGGAAAAUGUUAAUUUGACAUUUUAAAUAUAAAUAGCUGGUGCAGAAUUCUGGACGAGGGUUGGUUUUACUUAAACGAAAGCCUGUGGCAUUUGGAAGAAAGUGAAGGAGAGUUUGAGCUGGGGGGGGGGGGGGAGGGAUUGUCGCUGUUAGAAAGGCAGCCUGCUUUCCUUGAGCUCGGUGGCACUGCUCAGCCAGCGGGAGCAGGAUGAGGCCCAAGGAGCAGGGAAAGGCUCUGUCUUUAUUUCGGGCGGAGGGGAGUGGGAAAGGGGUUGAAAUUAACUUUCUAGGAAGCCACUGUUACCGCUUUAACCAUUUGUAGAUUUGUGACCCUUCUCUGCCGUCCUCCUCCUCGUUCCAAAUGGCUGGCGUGUUAUUAAAAACUUGGGCUGACAACUUUUGCCGCCGGAGUGCCGUGAGAGGUUCAGCCUUGGAGUUAAUGUUUAAUUUCUGAUCUGAGUAAACGGACCCACGCUGCUGGCAACAGAAGGGAGGAUGCCAGGGGAAUGGGUGUGAGGAUUUAUUUAGCAGUCGGGUCCUGCUCUGUGGGCGUCUUUUUAGGGCACCCGUAUGAAACGUAAAGGAUGGUAGUUCCACACUAGGCUUGGAUGCUCUCUGUCCCCGUUAAAAUCAUGCCAACCCCUAAGUCUCGAACGAAGAGCACGCCCUGGGUCCCAGUUUUCACGUUCUGGUCACUGUGGAUGCGGGCAAUAAGAAGGCAAGGUUUGUUGUGUGGGCACGUUAAGAGGGAGGCUGUGUUUUUAAUCAGGACUUUAUUUUCUUGCAGAUAUUUUCUUCACAGUUUUAGGAGAAAAGCCAGAAAACGUCCUUGCCCAGGUAGAAGGACAGGGAACGAUUUAUCCGUAGUAGAUUGUUGGGUUUCUGUUGAACUGAACAUUGAUGUUGCUGUGUUGUCCUUUAUUUUCUUUCUCGUUUCCUUCCCCUUUUGGGCUGUGCUCGCCGUGAGACGUGCUGCUGCGAUCCAAGAUUUCGCUGCGGUUAAGGCGAAGAGAGGAGGGAAGCGCACCUCCGCCCGCGCGGCCGCCCCCAGCCCUACCCGCCGCGGCGAGCGGCCGCUGCGGGGCCGAAGAGGCGAUGCCGGGGGAGCCAAGCGCUGCCCCCCACCCCCCCACCCCCACUUCCUUUCCCUCCCGGCGGCAGAGCGAGCGAGCAAACUGCCCCCGACCAGGUUUGCGAGGGCCGGGGCCGGGGAGGGGGCCGGGCACGGGAUGCGGCGGGGGCACCCAGCAGCCGGGGCGCGCCGGCCCCCGCUCGCGGUGCGGCGCUGCCCCUCGGCCCCGCAGCCCCCGGGGCACGGAGCAGCUUGGGGGCCCGGCGCGGGGCCGGCCCGCACCCGCUGCUCCUGCGGGGGGGGGGGGGGGUGGGAACCCUCCCGCCGCCGCGGCCGCUUCCCUGGGGAGGGAGCCGGAGGCUCCGGCGGGCCGGGGGAGGCCGCCUGGGGACCGGGACCGGCUGCCGAGGCUUGGGCCGGCACUUCGUUUGUGCUCCUGUCCUUAUCCUUAUUGCUGGGAGAAGCGGGCGGCGAGCCCCCACGGCGCCGAACGAGGGCUAGCGGCUGCCAGGCGGGCGAAGCCCAGGGCCUUUGAGCCGAGGAGGACCGUGCGAGAUUCGAGGCUGGCGGGGGAAAGGUUUGAAGGCGGAUUUUAAUAUUAAUAGUUUUGGUGGCGAAAAGAGAGACAGAAGGGAGGUCGCUGCUCUGGGCAGAGUCCCUGCGACAGUGAUGAUGGAUGACCCCGCACAGCUAAACAACUCCUCCCCUUCAUCCCCACACAGUGUCAGAGCUACUUUACUUGCAGCUUUAGGAAUAAAAUAAAUAAACACCCUCGGCCCCUUCCUCGCAUCGAUUUAUGGAUCAUUAUGAAUCAAUUACUGCUCUCAAUAUUUUAGAAUUUGCUUAUAUAAAAAGGGGGUCUGCGGCCGGAAAAAUGCAUUAAUCUUUACCUUAGCAGGAAACACAGAACCUUCCCGUACAGCCCUGUAACUAAAAAAUCGCUACAAAUAAUUCGGGUUUAACCAUUUUCCAAAAGCCGCAUUUCUGGGGAGGUGACGGGCGCUGCAGCUGCGCAUCUCUACGGGCGACUUUCGAACUGGCGCGUAGGGAGCAAGCCGUGCAGCCACACGGAUAUGGUGGCAAAGAAGGGAGAAGCUGCUGAUUUAGGGACGCUGGACCUGAAACGUUACCAAUGGAUCUUUACACCUUCAAUGAAUCCGCAAAUCGAUGCGAGCUGGGCACCCGCGGCUGAACCCAAUCAGACUCAGAUUUUUGAAGUUAUUCCCUCCAAACGCAAAAGUUUACACGAAGCCUUUAAGCGGCGGGAUGCAACCCCGCCGACCCUCCCCACCCUACCGCUCCCCCCAGGAGGGAGAAGGGACAGGGUUUAGGACAGGGACAUGCGACCUAAAAUCCCCUAACCCCUUAUUUUCGCCCAGCGGAGCCGCUUCUCCCCGCUGCUCCGACCGCCAUCCGUUUCAGCCGCGGGUUGCUGGCGGCGGGGGCGAGCGGGCGGCUCUCCCCCCGGCCCUGGGAGCGCGCUCCCGCGGGGAGCGGCACUGCGCGGGCACUGCGCGGGGCGCGCAGGUAGGCGCCGCUGGAGCCGCGCCGCCCGCUCCCCCGCCGUGGCCCCGCAGUGACCCCAGCCCGGGGCUGCGGGGAGGUGAGAGGUGACGCCGUGAGCCAGCGCAGCCCUGGCCCUUUUAAAGCCACAGCUAAUCAGUCCUCCGCUAAAUUAAAACCUGGGAAGCCGAGGGGAAGCAAUUUCGUUGUGAAGAAUUACGGGGCGCGCACCGGCACGGAGGGGGCACGGCAAGGAGGGCUGCUCACAGCUCGGGGGACGGGGGGCUGCGAAAUGCCCGGCACGCCGUGGGGAUCCGGUGGAUCUUCGUGGAUAUGGGAUCGCACGCACGCACCCCAAUAAAAGCCCGGUUUUCCGCUGGAAAACUUCAGUCCCAUAAAGCGUGCGGCGGGCUGGGGAGCGCAGGACGCCCUGCGCUGGGUGGUUUAAUUGCCUCCCUCGCCAAGGGCUCGGCGUUUCAUUAGGGCACGUGAAGAAAUUAAAGUGGAAAAAAAGUGACAAAUUUUCCUGUCAGUUCAUUUGUCUUCAGUUGCGAGCUGUUCUUUAAGCUCCGUGAGAAAUCAGGAGCCAGCCCCCCCAGAGGUGCGGGGACGAGCGUGCUCGUGUGUGCGCCGCGCGUGUGCGCGCCCCCGAGGGAAAAACGCGUGGGACCUGGGCGCAGGGUGGCCCACGAACGGUGCAAAAGGGUGACGGUUCAAUUUUUCCUCCUAAAUUAGGCAAUAUCCCUCGAUUGGUUUGGCACCCAUUACUUUUUUAUAACUCCGAAUCAGGAAAGGAAGAACAAAUGUCUGCUGCGAGUAACCCGCUGUAGCGCAGUUGUUUUGCUGGGAUCGUGUGCAGUUGCAUACGCAACACGGGAAUGGCUGUGAACGAGAUGCACUGGGAAAAAAAUAAAAAAUAAAAACUGCUGGAGGAAAAA